GGUCAUGCUUAGAAAAAAAAAUAAAAUAAAAUAAAAUUGUAAAGGUCAUGAUAUUCCCCUUCUCUGUCUAAAGGUGAUAUUAUGAGCCAAAAUUAAAGUGGUAUUAGUUUUUAUUACUUUUCUGUAUUUUAUAAAUUAGUUCUUUUGAUUGGUAUAUACAACUCAAUCACCUUUACGGAGUUGAACUAGUGACUCCACCCUCUAUGCCUUGUUAAUGGUGGAAGGAUAUGCCAUUUUAGUCCAAGGAUGAUUGUCCAGUAUUUUAUUACAUUUAAUCUGAAUUUUCUGUUUGGCUUGAAGAAAGGCAGGAGAAGAAAGGUAUCUUUAAUUUUUGAAACAAUGUGAAGUUGGAAUGGUCACUGAAAGGAGGAUGAAGCAAGUAAUUUUUGACUGGUGUGAUUACCUCGCUUGAAGAACUUGUGGAGACUGCAUUGCAAAGGAGCCACCUGGAUAGCUCCGUUUGCAUAAAGGAAAUUGGAACUUCAUCAGAGGAUAAAUGAGUGUUCUUAAAUGUGUCUCCAAAUGCAUCAGGCUACUCAUCAAAGAUGCCAGGUUCCACCUAGGUCUGUUGCUGCUAGAUAGUUUCAGUUUUUCAUAUCUAGUGAUGUGUUUCUGAGGCAACUCUACCAAACAAAUGAUUCCUUAAAUCAUACGCAAGACUUAUUCAUAAUAUCCUAUUUAAACAUGCAUGAGUAUC